rnacentral:sRNA from 1 species
GCUCAUUUGGUGGCUCUGUGACUUCAUCUCCAUCCAUGAUGGCAAUGCUGGAGCUCGAUUCCCGCCUUUUGUUUUCUUUCCAUACUCCCUACUGAAAAGGGUAUAUACAUUGAAUGGUCAGCGGGUACUGAACUAACUGCACGAAAAAAGUUGUCGAGUCCGAGUCGGGUUUUUCCAUCAAGACCUAGGGGGGAGGUGUGACGAUUUACCAAGGGGUAUACCCUAGUCUUAUUCCGACACAUUGAUACAGUUUUCCUCAGUUGGUCUUGUCCACAUUUCGCGGCUUUUGGGCCUCUCUCCCGGGUUCAGCCUUAAUUAUAGAGGUCGACUCUGCUGAUGAUGCCUUAAUGUCAACGUCGUCCCGCCGCUUGCUUCGUAGUUAAUUAAUGGACUUCGUCGUAUUAAACUCAUUAGUUCGCUUUCUGGGCAUAAUUUUAAUUAAUCACUCACAAAUCCACGCACACGCAACCGCAGAGGAGACUGCGAUACACAUUCGAGUAGAACGACAAACACGUUUGGAUCGCCUUAUCAGAAAGUCUUUGCAUAUUAAACGAUCUGCUGGCUACCUAAAAACACAAAUCGAAGUCGGAUCGCAGAUCCGAAAGCGAAUUCGAAUCGGAACCGAGAUCCAUAUUUAAGCGAAAAUUAAAAUUCGCUGAACAGCGAACAGAUCGACAGAUUGUUCGUUACUCAAUCGAUUUUUAAUUUUAAAAUGAAAUAAAUCAAAAUUAAGAAAAACGAACGCAGAAAACGAACGCUCAAAAGAGACUCGCGCAAAAAGACGAAGCAAAUUAACAUUCGCUCGCCCGCCAUUCGAUUUGAUAUAUUAAACUCAAAAUGUAUAUUUCAUCAUUAAAAAAUGAAGAAAAAAGGCAAAACAAGAGCCGAGCGCUCAGGCGAAGAACGAAAUGCUGGAAAAGAUCGAAACUAGUUUUACAGGUAAGCCCGAGAUGAGGCUGAGAUCGGAUCAGAUCGGAUGCUACGAGAUUCGUCCAUCGCCAUCGCCAUUGGGUCUCGGGCCUCUCCCUCUCGCUCCCACUCGGCUGCCGCUGCAGCCGCUGCAGCCGUCCCGCUCGCCCCGACGCUCGUAUGAUAAAUAACAAAUCAAACGCUGAAAUGUCGGUAAUGUAUGUGGCAUGUCAGGGUUCUCCUAAUUUAUGGCCUGGAUCAAUAAGAAUAACGCCCCAAUCAGUGACUAUAAAUUAACGCAAAGACAAAAACGAAAAAACGUACAUUUACGAAUACAACUUCAAAAAUGUCGAAGGCUGAGAAUGUUUGGCGGCUGUUAUGCAUUUCAUCUCACUCCCUGAUGCUCAGCUCAGAGUUAUUUGAGGUUUAGCCCCGAAAAGCUUUGAUCCGGAAUGUCGUUGACUCAGGCGGCACCUGAAAGCCAAGCCCGGUAUCAACAGAUAUUUCGAUUCGCAGCACAUAUGUACAUCUGGCAUUCGAAAAGGAUUUUGGAAUUGGGGAUGUGGAUAAACAGGAUGUCUUGCUAGACCGUAUGUUAGUAACAAUAAUAAACGAAACCUUCUAUUGGGAGCUCAAAA